GGCUUCGCCCUCAUCCCUACCAGCUGGAACCAAUCUCCUGGCCUGUAACAAGGGCUGGAACCUUGCUGUUUAUCUCCCUGGUGUGCCCCCAGCACCUAGGAUACUGUCUGCACAAGGCUGACACUCCAUAAGUAUUUGGUGACUGGAUAAUCAAUGCACCUAAUUUUAAGGCUAACUCAAAUGCCCUCUCCUCUCUGGCAGGUUCCUGCCCUGGGCUCCUGGGCUCUCACACCCCCACACCAGGGUCACCCCCACAUCAGCCUCAUGAUGGCCUGUUUUCUCAUCAGUCAAUACUCUCAGGAAUGAAUACAUGAAUGGAAUGAGUUACGAGAGUGAAGGAGAAGCUUCCCUGAGCCUCCGUGGGCAGACAGUCCUCUUCAUGUAACAUAUGCAGUGAACACCCACGACCCGCCCAGCACAUCUGAAGCCUGCAGUCAACACUGGUUCCGGUCCCAUGGGAGCAGCAUCGGCACCACAUGGGGCCUUCAAGAAUUUCAAGAAACUCCUGGGACAUCAAUAUACAUGUGCGAAGAGGUUCAAGAUGGAGCUAUUACUUCAAAACAAACAGGGACCUCCCUGGUGGUCCAGUGGCUCAGACUCCAUGCUCCCAAUGCAGAAGGCCCAGGCUUGAUCCCUGGUCGGGGAACGAGAUCCCGCAUGUGGCAACUAAAGAUCCCACAUACCGCAACCAAGACCUGGCACAGCUGAAAAUAUAUGUGUAUUUUAAAAAUAAACAAACAGUAAAAACAAACGCACAAAAAUCGAUAACCACCUAAAUGCCGCAUUAGUUUUCUGUAAACGAAUUACCCCCAUAUGGCAGCUUAAAACCAGACUUCUUGUAGCCCCCGCCCACCUAGAGUCUCCAGGUUCUGUGGGUUAGACGUCCCUGCGUUAUUGGGUUGGGUUCUCUGAUCAAGGUAUCAAGGCCAAAAUCAAGCUGUCAGCCUCACCU
ensembl:lncRNA